UAUAUCUGUGCGAUCGGGAUUG
rnacentral:miRNA from 1 species